GUAGGUGGCAAGCGUUGUCCGGAAUUAUUGGGCGUAAAGCGCGCGCAGGUGAUUCUUUAAGUCUGAUGUGAAAGCCCCCGGCUCAACCGGGGAGGGUCAUUGGAAACUGGGGAACUUGAGUGCAGGAGAGGAAAGUGGAAUUCCACGUGUAGCGGUGAAAUGCGUAGAUAUGUGGAGGAACACCAGUGGCGAAGGCGACUUUCUGGCCUGUAACUGACACUGAGGCGCGAAAGCGUGGGGAGCAAACAGGGAUUAGAUACCCUGGUAGUCCACGCCGUAAACGAUGAGUGCUAAGUGUUGGGGGGGUUUCCGCCCCCUCAGUGCUGCAGCUAACGCAUUAAGCACUCCGCCUGGGAGUACGGUCGCAAGACUG
rnacentral:rRNA from 1 species